rnacentral:rRNA from 1 species
AUUGAACGCUGGCGGCAUGCUUUACACAUGCAAGUCGAACGGCAGCGCGGGCUUCGGCCUGGCGGCGAGUGGCGAACGGGUGAGUAAUGCAUCGGAACGUGCCCAGUAGUGGGGGAUAGCCCGGCGAAAGCCGGAUUAAUACCGCAUACGACCUGAGGGUGAAAGCGGGGGACCGAAAGGCCUCGCGCUAUUGGAGCGGCCGAUGUCGGAUUAGCUAGUUGGUGGGGUAAAGGCUUACCAAGGCGACGAUCCGUAGCUGGUCUGAGAGGACGACCAGCCACACUGGAACUGAGACACGGCCCAGACUCCUACGGGAGGCAGCAGUGGGGAAUUUUGGACAAUGGGGGCAACCCUGAUCCAGCCAUGCCGCGUGCGGGAAGAAGGCCUUCGGGUUGUAAACCGCUUUUGUUCGGGAAGAAAUCCUCUGGGCUAAUACCCCGAGGGGAUGACGGUACCGGAAGAAUAAGCACCGGCUAACUACGUG